UUAAAUUGAAGAGUUUGAUCAUGGCUCAGAUUGAACGCUGGCGGCAGGCCUAACACAUGCAAGUCGAACGGUAACAGGAAACAGCUUGCUGUUUCGCUGACGAGUGGCGGACGGGUGAGUAAUGUCUGGGAAACUGCCUGAUGGAGGGGGAUAACUACUGGAAACGGUAGCUAAUACCGCAUAACGUCGCAAGACCAAAGAGGGGGACCUUCGGGCCUCUUGCCAUCGGAUGUGCCCAGAUGGGAUUAGCUUGUUGGUGGGGUAACGGCUCACCAAGGCGACGAUCCCUAGCUGGUCUGAGAGGAUGACCAGCCACACUGGAACUGAGACACGGUCCAGACUCCUACGGGAGGCAGCAGUGGGGAAUAUUGCACAAUGGGCGCAAGCCUGAUGCAGCCAUGCCGCGUGUAUGAAGAAGGCCUUCGGGUUGUAAAGUACUUUCAGCGGGGAGGAAGGGAGUAAAGUUAAUACCUUUGCUCAUUGACGUUACCCGCAGAAGAAGCACCGGCUAACUCCGUGCCAGCAGCCGCGGUAAUACGGAGGGUGCAAGCGUUAAUCGGAAUUACUGGGCGUAAAGCGCACGCAGGCGGUUUGUUAAGUCAGAUGUGAAAUCCCCGGGCUCAACCUGGGAACUGCAUAUGAUACUGGCAAGCUUGAGUCUCGUAGAGGGGGGUAGAAUUCCAGGUGUAGCGGUGAAAUGCGUAGAGAUCUGGAGGAAUACCGGUGGCGAAGGCGGCCCCCUGGACGAAGACUGACGCUCAGGUGCGAAAGCGUGGGGAGCAAACAGGAUUAGAUACCCUGGUAGUCCACGCCGUAAACGAUGUCGACUUGGAGGUUGUGCCCUUGAGGCGUGGCUUCCGGAGCUAACGCGUUAAGUCGACCGCCUGGGGAGUACGGCCGCAAGGUUAAAACUCAAAUGAAUUGACGGGGGCCCGCACAAGCGGUGGAGCAUGUGGUUUAAUUCGAUGCAACGCGAAGAACCUUACCUGGUCUUGACAUCCACAGAACUUUCCAGAGAUGGAUUGGUGCCUUCGGGAACUGUGAGACAGGUGCUGCAUGGCUGUCGUCAGCUCGUGUUGUGAAAUGUUGGGUUAAGUCCCGCAACGAGCGCAACCCUUAUCCUUUGUUGCCAGCGGUCCGGCCGGGAACUCAAAGGAGACUGCCAGUGAUAAACUGGAGGAAGGUGGGGAUGACGUCAAGUCAUCAUGGCCCUUACGACCAGGGCUACACACGUGCUACAAUGGCGCAUACAAAGAGAAGCGACCUCGCGAGAGCAAGCGGACCUCAUAAAGUGCGUCGUAGUCCGGAUUGGAGUCUGCAACUCGACUCCAUGAAGUCGGAAUCGCUAGUAAUCGUGGAUCAGAAUGCCACGGUGAAUACGUUCCCGGGCCUUGUACACACCGCCCGUCACACCAUGGGAGUGGGUUGCAAAAGAAGUAGGUAGCUUAACCUUCGGGAGGGCGCUUACCACUUUGUGAUUCAUGACUGGGGUGAAGUCGUAACAAGGUAACCGUAGGGGAACCUGCGGUUGGAUCACCUCCUUACCUUAAAGAAGC
rnacentral:rRNA from 1 species